rnacentral:tRNA from 1 species
UGGGAUGUAGCGCAGUGGCACCGCGCCUGCCUCCUAAGCAGAAGGUCCUGAGUUUGAUCCCCAGUACCAG